GGCCGGUGACGCGGCUCACAUUGGCACCUCCCACUAGUCGAGCGAGGACGUCUCAAAGGUAUGAUUCGAGCACGUCUUUGCGUUGGCCUACCAUGAGAUCCCCUAAUUUCGUGAAAUCCUCUUGCAAUUGCAACCAAGAUCGAUGAAUUUGGUCUACUCCAUGACGUGGAGGUUUCUUGAAGGGCUGCGGCGGCGAGUUGGAGCACAGGGGCGCGGCGGCGAGUUGGAGAACAUGGGGCUCGGCCGAGGAAAGAUGGCCAGAGAUUUGGGCUCCUGUUGCAAGUUCGUCGGCACGAGAUGGCAUCAGCAAGAAGCCAAGCGGGUGCACAUCAGCGGCAAGAACCAGAACAUCAUGAAUAUCGGCAGGUGUUAAUUCCUCCCCUGUUGGUGAUUUGUAUCACGUCCAAUACUCCUUCUCAUGCGAUGCUUUAAAUUAAAAUUUUGGUUCCAGUGAUUGGUUUGUAUGUUCUGUAGAGUAUCAAUCUUUUGAAAGCUCCUGGUAAAUUCAGGCGGUGCAGCUCAAUGAAUGCAUACUAAAGUGACCCCUGCUAGAAUUGCGUGUCUUGAUUUGAAAUUUCGGAAGGCAAAAAUGCAAACUGGGGUUCCUGUCCUUGUAUCUAAUCCAAGGGAACUAGAGAAGAUCUGUGAGUCCUUGCUGUUAUCUCCCGAACAUAUUAGUAUCCUUUUUGUUUCUCAUGUUCAGUGCUAUACUUCAAUGCCUUGGGUCGUACCUGCUAUUACUUUUUCCUGGCAGGAAAUCUGACAUAACAAGACAGCGAAUUGAGGAACUUCUCAAGGCCAGUGCCAACACUGUAUCAGCCAAAGAAAUUUAUGAUAUCUUGUUGAAGGCAUGCUGUCAUUAUUCAAGCAGAAGCUGAUCUUCUUCCUAUUUUGGAUAUAGCUUCAGAGCACUACAUCACAGGCUAUGCACGUAUUUGGUUUAAACUGGUCCAUGCUAGUGCUGAAAUAUUCUACUUAGCAGCUGCUAGCUUUGUUUGUCCAACGUGCGGAAUUUGCCGUAUACCACUUAACAUAAUUGUCUAACUAGAACAGGUAGUUAAGAUUUAUUUCCUUCUGAUUACCAGCAUGUAUUUAUUCCUCCACCCGUUUUACUUGUGCAACUACAGCUUAUUGAAAGAUAUCUCUACAUCAUACUUCUCAUAAGAUUUUGAUUCUUUUUUGUUUUGUUUCACAUGAAAUGUCCCAGCUUGGAAUUGCAAUCACACUGAGGCAACCAAUAAGAGUUUCAAACGAAUGGAGUCCAUGUUAGUAGUUUUUGUCCCAUACAUCUGCAAGACUCGCCAUAUUCGCAUACCAUGUCCCAUACAUCCGCAAGACUUUCCAUAUUUGCAGGACUAGAAUAUCUUCUUUUGAUGCAAGAUUGUAAAUUGUCUAUUCCAUAUAUGCGGUACUAGGUAGAAUAUGAUAGUCUGAUGCAAGAUUGUAAACCGUUUACUCUUGGGAUGAUUUUCAUGUAUGAGAUGGUGGUUUCAAUAAAGAAUAUUGAAUUCUUUGUCG